rfam:Corchorus olitorius cultivar O-4 contig13929, whole genome shotgun sequence.
AAAGAAAAAUGUAGCCAAAGACAACUUGCCGACCUGAUUAAUUAGCCCUUCAAAUUAAAUAUAUAUGGGAAAUUAAUUAGGAGGAUUCAGUCGAUCGGCAAGUCAUCCUUGGCUGCACUCUCCUUUCU